UUUUAAGACUUUAUUUUAUAAUUACAAUUAAAAAAAACAGUAAUGGAGAUAUAAACAGUGACUGAGAGAAACUACCUAGGGGAAUGCAGGGCAGAGAAAAGAGCAAAAUGGUGGAAAAGCAAGUGGACUUUAUGUGACAGUCAUGGGGUGGGGAAUUUUGAGCUGAUAGAGGUUGUCUGGGUUGAUCUCAAACUAGGUACACUGGCCUGAGGUAGAUGACCUUUGGUUAAGAAAAGUUCCUGGAGGAUUUUAAUUUUUAAAUAUUUUUUUUUCAGGACAAGAUUCCUCUGUGUAGCACUGGCUGUCCUGGAACUGGCUCUGUAUACAAGGCUGGCCUAGAACUCAGAGAUCUGCCUGUCUCUGCCUCUCUGCUGGAAUUAAAGCUAAGAGUGUGUGUGUGUGUGUGUGUGUGUGUGUGUGUGUGUGUGUGUGUGUGUGUGUGUGGAGAGAGAGAGAGAGAGAGAGAGAGAGAGAAAUGAGAAUGAGAAUAUAUAUGUGACCACCAGCCAGCAGGUUCCUGGAAAACUAAUCCAGAUUCUUGGCAAACAGCAGGCACUUUAAGAAAUCUGCUUUCCUAGUAAACAGAAACCUUUAGGCUUGUUUCCAGACAACAAUCCUCUGUUUACCCAAAAUCCUUCUGUUUAGGACACUGUCACUAGCACUGCCAUUUUGGAGGCAGCAGGGUUUUAGACCUGACAGAAUUUGUAUUUUGUUGUUGUUUAGUUGGUUGACUUUUGAGACAAGGUCUCACUCUGUAGCCCUGGCUGACUAGGAAUUUGCUUUGCUUUGUAGACCAGGUUGGCCUGGAAUUAACAGCGAGCUGCCUGCCUCUACCUCCCUAAUUCUGGGAUUAAAGACACGGACCACUGUUCCCACUCCUCACUGCAGUUUUUUAAAUUACUCAUUUUUGUGUAUCUGUAGAUAUGUACAUAUCUACAAGUACCACAGUAUGCUUGUGGAGUUCCAAGGACAACCAAUCUGUCUCUCCCAGGAUGAAAUUCAGGUCUUUAGUCUUAGCAGAAAGCACCUUUACCUGCUGAACCAUCUCUCUAGCCCUGUAGGCUACUUAAGCUAUUUUGGAAGCAAGGUCUCACUGGCUGGCCUGGAAUUCAAAGCUAAAUAAGCCCCUGUGGCAUAAGUUCAAAGGUAUAUAUCAUCAAACCCAGUUCUGCCUUUAAAAUUACAUUCCUUUUUUAUGGGAUGGGUGUACAUGUCACAGUGGACAUCUAGCGAUCAAAGGACUUGUAGGAGUUAGUUCUCUCCACCAUGUAGGUUCUUGGGAUUAAACUCAGGUCAUCAGGCUUGGUGGCAAGGGCAACUCUAUUUUUAAAGUCCCAUAAUAGAUAAUUGGAUUGUAAUAAUAGAGCUUUUUCAGAUUAUUUUUUAAUGUCCCUAAAGAUAGAGAUUAAAAUAUGGGGGAAGAAAAGGUUCUGGUAUCUUGCUUUUGUCUUCAAAGAAUCUGCUUAAAUUUCCUUUCCAAUCCCAAAGUCAAAGGGUAGGACUCUUAAUUUCGUGACAUCUGUAAACUGGAAGGUCUUCCCCCACCCCUCAAUUAUUCUUUUGUAAAAUAGUAAAGAAUCAUUUUCUGGGUCUUUCACCUUCUAUCUAUAACUGGCUUAUCAUAGGAUCUACUUUUUACUGCAGGGUUCAAGAAAGGCUCCCACAUGACAACCACAUAGGAACUCUGCAGAGAAGGAGAUACAUGUAGCUGGCAGCGCCUUUCCCAUUUGCUUUUGAGGGGGAAAGGAGUUAAGAUGGGGGUCCUCAUUUGCUGCCCAGGCUGGGUUCCCAGUUGCAGCGAUGUUCCUGCCUCAACCUUCCAUUUUCCAGGGAUUAUAGGCAUGAACCAGUCUCAGCACAGUUCAGCACACUGUGGUUUGUUCUGCAUAGGAACCGAAAACAAGGCCUAGGAGAGAGGCGGGCAGGAAGGGCCUCAACCACAGGGAUGGAAAGGGAGGAGGAACUCUCUCACAGGGCGUAGUGGAGCCUGGACAGACGGACAGUGGAGCUGCAGACCUGGGGAGAGAUCAGUAGGCUUCCUAGCCUCUCAGCUCUGCUUGGGGUUUCCAAGGUGACGCAGCCAUCAGGGCUGUGCCAAGGGCCACCAUCCGGCCUUCAGUAUAUCAGGGCGUCUCUCCUCCACUGACUUCCUUGCCGUGCCCUCCAGGUCCCUCCACUUCCAGCUCAUCCACCAAGAGGGUUAGGGCGGCGUCCUCGGGUCCCAGCAAAGAGGAAGAGGCAGGGUGAAGCCGGUGCGGAGCAGGGGAGACUGGGUAGGGGUGGGCGACCGCCUGAGGAUACUGCGCAGCGUGCGGACCCUCAACCCUCGGUCGGUCGCGAGCCUCCCGCCUCAGCAACGCCGCCCUGCGGGAGGGCGGGGGCGCGCGGCCGGAAGCGCCUUUCCCGGAAGGCAGGGGGGCGGCGCCGGCCUCAGGGCGGCUCGACCAUGGCGGCGGCGCGCCUGGUGCUCACUGCCUGAGCCGAGCCGCGCAGCGGGAGGAUGGCCUCGCUCGGGUCAGCCGCGGCUGGGGAGCCGGCGACCGGAGCUGAGGCGGAGCCAGGUCCUCCGGCCCCGCCGCCACCUCCGCCGCCGCCACCCGCUCCCUCGCCGUCCGCUCUCGGGCCGUUGUUGCCCCUGCAGCGGGAGCCGCUGUACAACUGGCAGGCCACCAAGGCGUCGCUGAAGGAGCGCUUCGCCUUCCUCUUCAACUCGGAGCUGCUGAGCGAUGUGCGUUUCGUGCUCGGCAAGGGCCGAGGCGCGGCUGCCGCCGGGGGCCCGCAGCGCAUUCCCGCCCAUCGCUUCGUACUGGCGGCCGGCAGCGCGGUCUUCGACGCCAUGUUCAACGGCGGGAUGGCCACGACGUCGGCCGAGAUCGAGCUGCCGGACGUGGAGCCCGCCGCCUUCCUGGCGCUGCUGAGGUUUUUGUAUUCAGAUGAAGUUCAAAUUGGUCCAGAAACCGUUAUGACCACUCUUUAUACUGCGAAGAAAUAUGCAGUCCCUGCCUUGGAAGCACAUUGCGUAGACUUUCUCACCAAACACCUUAGGGCGGACAAUGCCUUUAUGCUGCUAACUCAGGCGCGGUUGUUCGAUGAGCCUCAGCUGGCCAGUCUUUGUCUAGACACCAUAGACAAAAGCACAGUGGAUGCAAUAAGUGCGGAAGGCUUUACUGAUAUUGACAUCGAUACACUCUGUGCAGUUCUAGAAAGAGACACACUGAGUAUCCGAGAAAGUCGACUUUUUGGAGCUAUUGUACGCUGGGCAGAAGCAGAGUGUCAGAGACAACAAUUGCCUGUGACAUUUGGAAACAAGCAGAAAGUUCUAGGAAAAGCACUUUCCUUAAUCCGGUUCCCACUGAUGACAAUUGAGGAAUUUGCAGCAGGUCCUGCUCAAUCUGGAAUUCUGUCAGAUCGUGAAGUGGUAAACCUCUUUCUUCAUUUUACCGUCAAUCCUAAACCCCGAGUCGAGUACAUUGACCGGCCGCGAUGCUGCCUCAGAGGAAAGGAAUGCUGUAUCAAUAGGUUCCAGCAAGUAGAGAGCCGCUGGGGUUACAGUGGGACGAGCGAUCGGAUCAGGCAAAUAUAAAUUAUCAAAAUUGACCGAAGAAGAAAGCCUGAGUAGACCAAUUACCCUGGGAAGAAUUAAGUUAUCAAAGAACUGUCCAUUCACAAAGUUUUUACAGGUUCACAGUUAACAGGAGAAUCUCUGUAGUUGGAUUCGGUUUGUAUGGAUCUAUUCACGGGCCCACGGACUACCAAGUGAACAUACAGAUCAUUGAAUAUGAGAAAAAACAAAC